GAAUUUUGGACAAUGGGCGAAAGCCUGAUCCAGCAAUGCCGCGUGCAGGAUGAAGGACUUCGGGUUGUAAACUGCUUUUGUACGGAACGAAAAGCUUUGGGGUAAUCCCCUGGAGACAUGACGGUCACGUACGCAUAAUCACCGGCUGACACCGUGCCAGCGCCCGCGGUAAUACGUAGGUUGCAAGCGUGAAUCGGAAUUACUGGGCGGAAAGCGUGCGCAGGCGGUUUUGUAAGACAGAGGUGAAAUCCCCGGGCUCAACCUGGGAACUGCCUUUGUGACUGCAAGGCUAGAGUACGGCAGAGGGGGGUGGAAUUCCGCGUGUAGCAGUGAAAUGCGUAGAUAUGCGGAGGAACACCGAUGGCGAAGGCAACCCCCUGGGCCUGUACUGACGCUCAUGCACGAAAGCGUGGGGAGCAAAC
rnacentral:rRNA from 1 species